UCUUACGGAUGAGCGAAGAGGGUGGUAUUUUGAGAUGGAAUCUACUCCUGGUGAAGAUGCUGGGAA
rnacentral:pre_miRNA from 2 species